rnacentral:rRNA from 1 species
CAGCAGCGCGGUAAUACGAAGGGGGCUAGCGUUGCUCGGAAUCACUGGGCGUAAAGGGUGCGUAGGCGGGUCUUUAAGUCAGGGGUGAAAUCCUGGAGCUCAACUCCAGAACUGCCUUUGAUACUGAAGAUCUUGAGUUCGGGAGAGGUGAGUGGAACUGCGAGUGUAGAGGUGAAAUUCGUAGAUAUUCGCAAGAACACCAGUGGCGAAGGCGGCUCACUGGCCCGAUACUGACGCUGAGGCACGAAAGCGUGGGGAGCAAACAGGAUUAGAGACCCCCGUAGUCCCUGUCUCUUAUACC